UACGUAGGGUGCAAGCGUUGUCCGGAAUUAUUGGGCGUAAAGGGCUCGUAGGCGGUCCGUCACGUCGGGAGUGAAAACUUGGGGCUUAACCCCAAGCCUGCUUCCGAUACGGGCAGACUAGAGGCAUGCAGGGGAGAACGGAAUUCCUGGUGUAGCGGUGAAAUGCGCAGAUAUCAGGAGGAACACCGGUGGCGAAGGCGGUUCUCUGGGCAUGUCCUGACGCUGAGGAGCGAAAGUGUGGGGAGCGAACAGG
rnacentral:rRNA from 1 species